ACUUUGUUGGGUGACUGCGUACCUUUUGUAUAAUGGGUCAGCGACUUAUAUUCAGUGGCGAGCUUAACCGAAUAGGGGAGGCGUAGCGAAAGCGAGUCUUAAUAGGGCGACAGUCGCUGGGUAUAGACCCGAAACCGGGCGAUCUAUCCAUGGGCAGGUUGAAGGUUAGGUAACACUGACUGGAGGACCGAACCGACUACCGUUGAAAAGUUAGCGGAUGACCUGUGGAUCGGAGUGAAAGGCUAAUCAAGCUCGGAGAUAGCUGGUUCUCCUCGAAAGCUAUUUAGGUAGCGCCUCAUGUAUCACUGUAGGGGGUAGAGCACUGUUUCGGCUAGGGGGUCAUCCCGACUUACCAAACCGAUGCAAACUCCGAAUACCUACAAGUGCCGAGCAUGGGAGACACACGGCGGGUGCUAACGUCCGUCGUGAAAAGGGAAACAACCCAGACCGUCAGCUAAGGUCCCAAAAUCCUGGUUAAGUGGGAAACGAUGUGGGAAGGCUUAGACAGCUAGGAGGUUGGCUUAGAAGCAGCCACCCUUUAAAGAAAGCGUAAUAGCUCACUAGUCGAGUCGGCCUGCGCGGAAGAUGUAACGGGGCUCAAACCAGGUACCGAAGCUACGGGUAUCAUCUUUUGAUGAUGCGGUAGAGGAGCGUUCUGUAAGCCUGUGAAGGUGAGUUGAGAAGCUUGCUGGAGGUAUCAGAAGUGCGAAUGCUGACAUGAGUAACGACAAUGGGAGUGAAAAACUCCCACGCCGAAAGACCAAGGUUUCCUGCGCAACGUUAAUCGACGCAGGGUUAGUCGGUCCCUAAGGCGAGGCUGAAAAGCGUAGUCGAUGGAAAACAGGUUAAUAUUCCUGUACUUCUUGUUACUGCGAUGGAGGGACGGAGAAGGCUAGGCCAGCCUGGCGUUGGUUGUCCAGGUUUAAGGUGGUAGGCUGGGAUCUUAGGUAAAUCCGGGAUCCUAAGGCCGAGAGCUGAUGACGAGUGUUCUUUUAGAACAUGAAGUGGUUGAUGCCAUGCUUCCAGGAAAAGCUCCUAAGCUUCAGGUAACAAGGAACCGUACCCCAAACCGACACAGGUGGUUGGGUAGAGAAUACCAAGGCGCUUGAGAGAACUCGGGUGAAGGAACUAGGCAAAAUGGCACCGUAACUUCGGGAGAAGGUGCGCCGGUGAGGGUGAAGGACUUGCUCCGUAAGCUCAUGCCGGUCGAAGAUACCAGGCCGCUGCGACUGUUUAUUAAAAACACAGCACUCUGCAAACACGAAAGUGGACGUAUAGGGUGUGACGCCUGCCCGGUGCCGGAAGGUUAAUUGAUGGGGUUAGCGCAAGCGAAGCUCUUGAUCGAAGCCCCGGUAAACGGCGGCCGUAACUAUAACGGUCCUAAGGUAGCGAAAUUCCUUGUCGGGUAAGUUCCGACCUGCACGAAUGGCGUAACGAUGGCGGCGCUGUCUCCACCCGAGACUCAGUGAAAUUGAAAUCGCUGUGAAGAUGCAGUGUAUCCGCGGCUAGACGGAAAGACCCCGUGAACCUUUACUAUAGCUUUGCACUGGACUUUGAAUUUGCUUGUGUAGGAUAGGUGGGAGGCUUUGAAGCGUGGACGCCAGUCUGCGUGGAGCCAACCUUGAAAUACCACCCUGGCAACUUUGAGGUUCUAACUCAGGUCCGUUAUCCGGAUCGAGGACAGUGUAUGGUGGGUAGUUUGACUGGGGCGGUCUCCUCCCAAAGAGUAACGGAGGAGUACGAAGGUGCGCUCAGACCGGUCGGAAAUCGGUCGUAGAGUAUAAAGGCAAAAGCGCGCUUGACUGCGAGACCCACACGUCGAGCAGGUACGAAAGUAGGUCUUAGUGAUCCGGUGGUUCUGUAUGGAAGGGCCAUCGCUCAACGGAUAAAAGGUACUCCGGGGAUAACAGGCUGAUACCGCCCAAGAGUUCAUAUCGACGGCGGUGUUUGGCACCUCGAUGUCGGCUCAUCACAUCCUGGGGCUGAAGCCGGUCCCAAGGGUAUGGCUGUUCGCCAUUUAAAGUGGUACGCGAGCUGGGUUUAGAACGUCGUGAGACAGUUCGGUCCCUAUCUGCCGUGGACGUUUGAGAUUUGAGAGGGGCUGCUCCUAGUACGAGAGGACCGGAGUGGACGAACCUCUGGUGUUCCGGUUGUCACGCCAGUGGCAUUGCCGGGUAGCUAUGUUCGGAAAAGAUAACCGCUGAAAGCAUCUAAGCGGGAAACUUGCCUCAAGAUGAGAUCUCACUGGGACCUUGAGUCCCCUGAAGGGCCGUCGAAGACUACGACGUUGAUAGGUUGGGUGUGUAAGCGCUGUGAGGCGUUGAGCUAACCAAUACUAAUUGCCCGUGAGGCUUGACCAU
rnacentral:rRNA from 1 species